rnacentral:lncRNA from 1 species
AAGGACCCAUAUUACAUGUUUCACCUCGUUUGAAAUGCAACUUUUGUUGUAAAUCUGGACAUGUUGCUUACAAAUGUCCAUUUAGGAAAAUUAGUCCACAUAAGUUGAUAUGGGUUCCUAAAGGAACUAUAAAUAGUUCAAUGAUGAAUAACAAAAUUGGUAGAUCAAUUUUGUAGGCACCCAAAAUCAAAUGGGUACCUAAAAACCAUCCUCUUUUGUAGACAAACCCA